rnacentral:misc_RNA from 1 species
AAUUCUCAACCUUAUUAGCUUUUGUUGAUAAUGGAUUGGAUAUGGGGGUUUCUUUUGCUGGCUUCUUCACAGAGAUCAGCUCCCCUUAAAUGCAUUAGCUGGUGACCCGCGUGGACCAUCUAUUGGUGUGAUAAUUAUCUACGCCGUGGAUGUCUGCAAUAUUAUGGGUUUGCACUGCUUCUAACUGUCUGUUUGUUCAGACAAUACAUGACA